CGGAGCUUGCUCUGUGGGAUCAGUGGCGAACGGGUGAGUAACACGUGAGCAACCUGCCCCUGACUCUGGGAUAAGCGCUGGAAACGGCGUCUAAUACUGGAUAUGUGACGUGACCGCAUGGUCUGCGUCUGGAAAGAAUUUCGGUUGGGGAUGGGCUCGCGGCCUAUCAGCUUGUUGGUGAGGUAAUGGCUCACCAAGGCGUCGACGGGUAGCCGGCCUGAGAGGGUGACCGGCCACACUGGGACUGAGACACGGCCCAGACUCCUACGGGAGGCAGCAGUGGGGAAUAUUGCACAAUGGGCGCAAGCCUGAUGCAGCAACGCCGCGUGAGGGACGACGGCCUUCGGGUUGUAAACCUCUUUUAGCAGGGAAGAAGCGAAAGUGACGGUACCUGCAGAAAAAGCGCCGGCUAACUACGUGCCAGCAGCCGCGGUAAUACGUAGGGCGCAAGCGUUAUCCGGAAUUAUUGGGCGUAAAGAGCUCGUAGGCGGUUUGUCGCGUCUGCUGUGAAAUCCGGAGGCUCAACCUCCGGCCUGCAGUGGGUACGGGCAGACUAGAGUGCGGUAGGGGAGAUUGGAAUUCCUGGUGUAGCGGUGGAAU
rnacentral:rRNA from 1 species